UUGUAUCUUUUCCCAAUGCGGUUAUCAUAAGUCAGCGCCAUUUGACUUCCUGGUUUGUGACAGCGAAGCUCAGCCCCACCGUCGACUGCUCCAUUAAAAACAUAAAAUAUAACUUUGUAGGAUUCGAUUUGAGAGUUUAACGAAGUAUAUGAUGGAAAAUAUGAGUAGUAAACUCCAUAAAGAAAGUAUUGCAGUUAUAAAGUUCACUCCAAAUUGUCGCACAUAAAAUCCAACACUAGGAACAGACUAAUGCCUUUAAAAUUUCCUAUCAAUCUGGGGGAUUGAGCAAGUUUUCGUACGGUGAAUGAGUGCCAAUGGGAAAGACUCCUGGCAUCCACCCCGUCAUCAACAUCCUGAACCGAACCGAGCCUCAAAUCUUGAACGGUGUAGACUACAAGAUUCACAGAGACGGGGCACGUUACCUUCUCCACGAGGGUUGAGCACCGAUAUAGAGCCAACAGCGCAACUGGACACGCCCUCCGUGGGCCGAAAGCGCGAAGCGAGUGGGGAAGGAAGAGGAGGAAGAAGGGUGGCAGCGCGCGACCUCAAAGAACACUUCCAUAUGGCUACAAGCACCGCAGGUGGAGGUUUCAAAGGGUGGUGGGGGAUGGAAUGUGCUCGAAAAUUCCUGCGGCUCCAGGUGUUUUCUCUGCUGUUAUAGAUUUUGAAUGGUCUCCGUCGCCCGUUCUGAGCACCUUCCCACAAUCUGCGGUCCAGAUUGGAAAUGAAAGCCCGCAAAGAUGUGGGGUCGCCGGACUCACCAGCUUCAACAAUGGUAAGCCCCCGGUAGCACCCCUCCCACAUCAGAAUUACUUCAGAGAAAGCUAAUGCCUUGGGCGACCGCCUGGAGCCGGCCACCCAACGAGUUGAGAGAAAGGAGAUGUGGAGCCGGUCACCGCUCGAGCUCCUCUUGCGGAAACAUGAUGCGGCGAAGGCGUAGCCAAGGCCAUGGUACCUCUUCUUGGAUCCUCUAUUUCAACGCCACUCUCACGAUUCCCCUCUCCUUCAAUCUCACCUCUGAGCUGUCACCGGUGGCUGCUGGCUUGGAAAAAAACUAGCGUAUUUUGUCUAAGCGCUCGCGGUUGACUCCAAGGGGCCGCCUGAUCUAUUGAAUUGGAAGACGAACUCCCUCAAGGUACGACUUCUUUUGCCAAAUUGUUAGAUCAUUGCUUCGUGUCUCAAUAAUACAGAUCUGUUGUUGUUCUCGUUUGUGUAUUGAUUGGGGAGCAUUUCAUAAAUAUAAUAGCUGAAGCAGAGGAGAGAAGAGAGGCAGUCGCACUUUAGAAAUCCUCCUCGUUUCUUGUCGAGGGCAUCAUGGGCGAUGCCUUCAUCAGUGAGAUCAAUAAAGCGGCUCAGUAUCUAAGGCGACGCUUUCGUCUAUCAGACAAUGAACUGAAGCGCCUGGAAGAUGUGAAAUCGUUGAAUGAGAUGUCCCUGGCGAUUCGGGCCAGGCUCAGUGAUGCUGAGGAGAUGGAGAUAGCCGACGUUUCCGCUAGACUUUGCCUUGACCAUUUGAAGGAAAUCUUCCAUGCUAUGGAGGAUGUGCGCGAUGAGUUUAUUUAUAAUGUGCUGCAUUUAAAUUCAGAAGGUUCGACAUUUCCAAUGGAUGACAACCCCNNNN
rnacentral:lncRNA from 1 species